UUUAUGAGCUCAUUGUAGAGAGUCUAAGCACAAUUGUAACAAAAUUUUCUUCAUGGCAACUUAAAGCAAUAGGGAUUAUAACUUCACUUUUCAGCUGGGGAGAUAGGUGCAGAGAAGGCCAGUGACUAAAGUGAGAUCGCACAGUGAGUCAGUGUCAGGGACUGGCUCUGAAGUUGUAGUUGUCUAAUAAUGAUGGCAUUUGAAUGCUUACUGUAAGCCAGGGGCUUUGCAUGGUUUAUUUUAACUAUUCCUUUCAACUAUCAUCAUCAUCACCAUUACCACUGCCAUCAUCAUCAUCACCACCACAUCAUCAUCAUCAUCACCAUCAUCAUCACCACCCGUCAUCGUCAUCACCAUCACCACCACAGUUUUCACCAACAUCACCAUCAUCAUCAUCAUCAUCAUAAUCACCAUUUCAGUUCACAAAUUAUAGGUCAAGAAACCAAUGUCCAAAAAAGUUAAAUCAUUUUUUUCCAGAGUUAGAUAACUAGAAAAUUGUGAGAUUUGAACCCAAUCCAUCUGGUUCCCUAACAGGCACACUGAACUCUUGUCUUGCACUUCCCUACUUUGGCCUGCUUCCUUGUACUAAUUCACUGCCAAUCCAUAGGAUGUUACUUCUGCCAUGUGCUAUGUUGGAUGAUGAGCAUCUGUAAGAUACCAGAGAAAGUGAUAGAAAUUGAUGGGCCAUGCUUUAGGAAUGUGAAGUUGCUUUCUGGGUUGCUGCAGAGCAGCCACAUGCUGUUACUGCAUGUGAGCAUCUCUUAUGUGAAUGCCGAGUUGUGUGAUGUGGUGUUCUGACAUGGCCCAUGAGGUUAUGGUGGCCUCCUUCUGCAUAGGCAUGGCCUUGUCUUCAGGGUGAAAGUAUUCCUGAUGUCUCUCAUUCUGGAAAGAGAUGGAUUCUUAGUCAGGAACGAGACCAUGAGGAUGAGGGAAUUCAAUCCUCUCUUUUUGCCUAGACUCGGAAGAAUGGCGAUGUCAGGAUUAUCGUCUGCAUGGUGGAUGUUGAGGACGGUGACUCUCAUGCUAAGAUGAGGGAGAGACAGGAAGGAGGCGAGUGUUAUGGUGCUCUGCUAACGGCAAAGGAGGUCAGAGGUUUGGGGAGAGCCCAUCUUGCCGUUGCUAUCAUCCAUCCACAAAAAUCCAACACAGUGUCCUUUGCCCCAUCUGGACCUUGGACAUCCAUCAAGUUCAGGUUGCCCCUGAGGUGCCUCUUGCUCCUCUCCGUGUAGACCUGUCAUCAGGUCCUGUGGUUCUCUUUCCCUUUCAUGUCAUGCAUGAGACCCUUGCAAUAAUUGUGCUCCUUCCAGGGAACACUGGGGCAUUAAAUCUCUGUUGUGCUGCUAAGGAACCCUUGUCUCCAUGCAUUGUACAUUUCUCUCUGGACGCCUUACCAUCCCUCGGGGGCUCUGCUGGUCAGUAGAUGCAGGACCCCCUCUCUGGGGCCAGGCAAAAUCCACCGUGUCAUCUCUCUUUGUCUUCCCUCCCCUUAGCCAGAAAGAAGCUUUUCUAGUCCCCGGGGAAAGCUCUGCUCUUAGACUUCACCCCACUUCAACAUUUAACCUAUGCCCAAGGUCCUUUUGAGUCUUGUAAGAACAUCACAUUUUUAGAAUGGAAUGCCAGAAUAUUCUUUCUUUUCUUUUUUCUAGCCUGUGUUAUCUGCCCCCUAAUGCGAUGAGUAGUGACUGGUCUAGCUGCUUGAAUUGGGAGUGGUAAAAAGGUGGAGAAAGCAAAGUAUUCAGGGAAAAACAGAAAACCAAUUAAUAAUUGCAAAUAUCCUGCCACAUGGGGAUAACGACAUCCUGUAGCAUUGUUAGAGAAUCCAGAUGUGAAUGUGGAAUGCUCAGUACUGAGAUUCUCGGAGAAUAGGUAAAUCCCACAACCUAGGCUAUCUCUACUUUCCGUCACAGUUCUAAUUGAUGUGACGGAGGAAGGCUGAGUGGAGUGUCCCUUUUGCCAAACCUGUUUCUCCUUUCUCUUUUCUUAUCUCAGUGUUCUUUCUUUAUUCAUUUGUUCAUGUCACAAAUUAGGGAAUUAUCUUGAACACUUCUCUUUCACCCUUCUCUUCCUAAUCGAUUUCCCCAAUUCAAUCAGUUGCCAAGUCUCGAUUAUUCUGUCUUCAGUUCUCUCUCUCAAUCUCUCUAUCUCUCUCUCCAGGCUUCUCCCAUCUCUUUCUCGAACAUUAUCCUCUUCUUCCCACAAGUAGCCAGAGGGUGCGUAGAAAACCAUGAAACCUCUCUCUGACUUGGCUUCCCAUGACCUGAUAGGAAUGAAGUGUAAACUCAGUGAUGUGGUCUUUGAGGUCCUGCAUGAUCUGGCCCUGGUUCCCCCUUGAGCCUCAUUUUAUUCCACUCUAUCCCGUAUAGAUGGACGAUUUCCGGAGCCCUCAAUGCUUCUUUGCAGUUCUCUCCAUGGUUGGCUCCCCCUUCUAUUUUCCACAGCUGAUGAUCCCAACUUUUACAUGGCCUCAUCAGGUUCCCAUUCUGUCCUCAGACUUGCUCACUUUCUGCAGAUGACCUCCCCCCCAUCUUUGGGAACAUAGAGGGCAUAAUUUCUGACCUCCCGAAAUUUGCUGUAUGUCCUCCUCUGAAGUACGUUUCUCUUCACUGGUCUUUCUCUCCUCUCCCGUGUCAAAGCAGACAUGUCCCAUAUCCUUUUCCUGCUUGUCCUUUCUGGGCUCCUGGUCCUCCCCCUAACCUAGAGUUGCCUGAUAAAAUACAAGACAGUUAAACUGGAAUUUCAGAUAAUCGGUGAGCAAAUUUUUUAGUACAAAUAUCUCAUGGGGCAUACUUAUGCUAAAUAAUUAUUCACUGGUUAUCUGAAAUUCAAGUUAACUGACUAUCCUGUAGUUUUAUCUGCUAAAUCUGGCAGCCCUACCCCUAUCUCCUUAAAACUAUUUCCUCUUCUCUUUAUUCCCCUUCCACUGGGCGCUGCCACGGGGCUUUAAAAUCUUCUCAAGUUAUUUCCACUGACAAACUCUUGGAUGCAGCAAAUCGCUUCCUUGAUUCUAUUCUCCUUUAAGCUAGUACCCCCCUCUAUGGUCUACCAUCUCUUUCAACUUCCUUACUUGCCUUUCAUUCUUUAGGUCUUUGCAAUAUGAUUUCCAGUCUCACCACUCAACAUUCUUCUUAAAUAUCACAAAUGCUUUCCAAAUUCCCUCUCCUGUAAUCUUCAUAUCCAAUUAGGCUUUUCAUCUGGGUGUCCCACAGACAUUUCCCCUUAUGUACUCUGUGCUUCCAAAUGUUCAACAGUUAACUUUUAAUUGCCCUCUUGUAAUUUAUCCCUCUUUCUGUUCUAAUUGUUGUAAUUUAAAAACAUCUACAUAGAUUUAGUUGCCUAGGCUGAAAUCCAUGGAGUCACAUUCCUCCUUAUUUAUCGUUCCCAAUAUAAUUUGUUACCAGGUUAUAUGGCUUCUGUCUUUGGAAUAAACCUUUCUCAGUUUUCUCUUCUUUACGUCA
rnacentral:lncRNA from 1 species